CAGUCGCCGCGGUAAUACGAAGGGUGCAAGCGUUAAUCGGAAUUACUGGGCGUAAAGCGUGCGUAGGCGGUUUGUUAAGUCUGUUGUGAAAUCCCCGGGCUCAACCUGGGAAUGGCAAUGGAUACUGGCAAGCUAGAGUGUGUCAGAGGAUGGUGGAAUUCCCGGUGUAGCGGUGAAAUGCGUAGAGAUCGGGAGGAACAUCAGUGGCGAAGGCGGCCAUCUGGGACAACACUGACGCUGAGGCACGAAAGCGUGGGGAGCAAACAGGAUUAGAUACCCCCGUAGUCCCUGUCUCUUACAU
rnacentral:rRNA from 1 species